GUUUAGUUGCCAGCAGUUCGGCUGGGCACUCUAAAGGGGACUGCCGGGUGUUAAACCGGAGGAAGGUGGGGAUGACGUCAAGUCCUCAUGGCCUUUAUGACCAGGGCUACACACGUACUACAAUGGCCGAUACAAAGGGCAGCGACACUGCGAGGUGAAGCCAAUCCCGUAAAAUCGGUCUCAGUCCGGAUUGGAGUCUGCAACUCGACUCCAUGAAGUUGGAAUCGCUAGUAAUCGUGGAUCAGCAUGCCACGGUGAAUACGUUCCCGGGCCUU
rnacentral:rRNA from 1 species